AUGAGUGUGCUCUGUGUCCUCAUCUGGACUCUCCUCUGCUUGAGUCAAGGGUCUGCUGGACAAAACGUUGUGGUGACUCAGUCAGCAUCCAGAUCUGUGCAGCUUGGUCAGACUGUAAACAUCAACUGUAAAGUCAGUACACAAGUAGCUCAGUAUUCUGGUUCACGAUACUUCCUGGCCUGGUACCAUCAGAAAACUGGAGAAGCUCCCAAAGCUCUGAUCUACUUAACAUCAGACAGACUUUCAGGAAUCUCCUCCAGACUGAGUGGAAGUGGAGCAGGGAAUGGCCUGGACUUCACUCUGAGCAUCAGUGCAGCUCAGGCUGACGAUGCAGGAGUUUAUUACUGUCAGAGUUACCACAGCACGCCGAUGUUCACACAGUGA